GUGCUUGCUCCAGCAGCACAUAUAUUAAAAUGAGAACAAUACAGAGAAGAUUAGCAUGACCCCUUUGCAAGGAUGACAUGCAAAUUUGUGAAGCCUCCCAUAUUUUG
ensembl:snRNA U6 U6 spliceosomal RNA